rnacentral:rRNA from 1 species
GAUGAACGCUGGCGGCGUGCCUAAUACAUGCAAGUCGAGCGAACGGACGAGAAGCUUGCUUUUCUGAUGUUAGCGGCGGACGGGUGAGUAACACGUGGAUAACCUACCUAUAAGACUGGGAUAACUUCGGGAAACCGGAGCUAAUACCGGAUAAUAUUUUGAACCACAUGGUUCAAAAGUGAAAGACGGUCUUGCUGUCACUUAUAGAUGGAUCCGCGCUGCAUUAGCUAGUUGGUAAGGUAACGGCUUACCAAGGCAACGAUGCAUAGCCGACCUGAGAGGGUGAUCGGCCACACGGGAACGGAGACACGGUCCAGACUCCUACGGGAGGCAGCAGUAGGGAAUCUUCCGCAAUGGGCGAAAGCCUGACGGAGCAACGCCGCGUGAGUGAUGAAGGUCUUCGGAUCGUAAAACUCUGUUAUUAGGGAAGAACAUAUGUGUAAGUAACUGUGCACAUCUUGACGGUACCUAAUCAGAAAGCCACGGCUAACUACGUG